rnacentral:rRNA from 1 species
AUUGAACGCUGGCGGAAUGCUUUACACAUGCAAGUCGAACGGCAGCAUAGGUGCUUGCACCUGAUGGCGAGUGGCGAACGGGUGAGUAAUACAUCGGAACGUGCCCAGUCGUGGGGGAUAACGUAGCGAAAGUUACGCUAAUACCGCAUACGAUCUAAGGAUGAAAGCGGGGGACCGUAAGGCCUCGCGCGAUUGGAGCGGCCGAUGUCAGAUUAGGUAGUUGGUGAGGUAAAGGCUCACCAAGCCGACGAUCUGUAGCUGGUCUGAGAGGACGACCAGCCACACUGGGACUGAGACACGGCCCAGACUCCUACGGGAGGCAGCAGUGGGGAAUUUUGGACAAUGGACGCAAGUCUGAUCCAGCCAUUCCGCGUGCAGGACGAAGGCCUUCGGGUUGUAAACUGCUUUUGUACAGAACGAAAAAGCUCUUACUAAUACUAGGAGUCCAUGACGGUACCGUAAGAAUAAGCACCGGCUAACUAUGUGCCAGCAGCCGCAGUAA